UGUGGAAGAGUGGAGAACGGGUGAGGAACACGUAAGAAUCUGCCCCUCGGUCGGGGACAACUCUUGGAAACGAGAGCUAAUACCCGAUACGCUGUGGAGUGAAAGAAUUUCGCCGAGGGAUGAUCUUGCGUCUGAUUAGCUAGUUGGUGUGGUAAAGGCAUACCAAGGCGACGAUCAGUAGCUGGUCUGAGAGGAUGAACAGCCACAUUGGAACUGAGACACGGUCCAAACUCC
rnacentral:rRNA from 1 species